AUGAACGCUGGCGGCGUGCCUAAUACAUGCCAGUCGAGCGAACAGACGAGGAGCUUGCUCCUCUGACGUUAGCGGCGGACGGGUGAGUAACACGUGGAUAACCUACCUAUAAGACUGGGAUAACUUCGGGAAACCGGAGCUAAUACCGGAUAAUAUAUUGAACCGCAUGGUUCAAUAGUGAAAGACGGUUUUGCUGUCACUUAUAGAUGGAUCCGCGCCGCAUUAGCUAGUUGGUAAGGUAACGGCUUACCAAGGCAACGAUGCGUAGCCGACCUGAGAGGGUGAUCGGCCACACUGGAACUGAGACACGGUCCAGACUCCUACGGGAGGCAGCAGUAGGGAAUCUUCCGCAAUGGGCGAAAGCCUGGCGGAGCAACGCCGCGUGAGUGAUGAAGGUCUUCGGAUCGUAAAACUCUGUUAUUAGGGAAGAACAAAUGUGUAAGUAACUAUGCACGUCUUGACGGUACCUAAUCAGAAAGCCACGGCUAACUACGUG
rnacentral:rRNA from 1 species